UACGGGGGGGGCAAGCGUUGUUCGGAAUUACUGGGCGUAAAGGGCGCGUAGGCGGUUCGCUAAGUUGGAUGUGAAAACUCUGGGCUUAACCCAGAGCCUGCAUCCAAAACUGGCGAACUGGAGUACUGGAGGGGAAAGCGGAAUUCCUGGUGUAGCGGUGAAAUGCGUAGAUAUCAGGAGGAACACCGGUGGCGAAGGCGGCUUUCUGGGACAGUAACUGACGCUGAGGCGCGAAAGCUAGGGGAGCAAACAGG
rnacentral:rRNA from 1 species